rnacentral:rRNA from 1 species
UGGGGAAUCUUGCACAAUGGAGGAAACUCUGAUGCAGCGACGCCGCGUGGACGAUGAAGCCCUUCGGGGUGUAAAGUCCUUUCGACCGGAACGAUAAUGACGGUACCGGUGGAAGAAGCUGCGGCUAACUACGUGCCAGCAGCCGCGGUAAUACGUAGGCAGCAAGCGUUGUUCGGAAUUAUUGGGCGUAAAGAGCUCGUAGGCGGUUUGCCAAGUUUGGUGUGAAAUCUCCCGGCUUAACUGGGAGGGUGCGCCGAAUACUAGCAGGCUAGAGUACGGGAGAGGAAAGCGGAAUUCCUGGUGUAGCGGUGAAAUGCGUAGAUAUCAGGAGGAACACCUGCGGUGUAGACGGCUUUCUGGACCGAAACUGACGCUGAGGAGCGAAAGCGUGGGUAGCAAACAGG